GAUGAACGCUGGCGGCGUGCCUAAUACAUGCAAGUCGAGCGAACAGGCGAGGAGCUUGCUCCUCUGACGUUAGCGGCGGACGGGUGAGUAACACGUGGAUAACCUACCUAUAAGACUGGGAUAACUUCGGGAAACCGGAUCUAAUACCGGAUAAUAUAUUGAACCGCAUGGUUCAAUAGUGAAAGACGGUUUUGCUGUCACUUAUAGAUGGAUCCGCGCCGCAUUAGCUAGUUGGUAAGGUAACGGCUUAACAAGGCAACGAUGCGUAGCCGACCUGAGAGGGUGAUCGGCCACACUGGAACUGAGACACGGUCCAGACUCCUACGGGAGGCAGCAGUAGGGAAUCUUCCGCAAUGGGCGAAAGCCUGACGGAGCAACGCCGCGUGAGUGAUGAAGGUCUUCGGAUCGUAAAACUCUGUUAUUAGGGAAGAACAAAUGUGUAAGUAACUAUGCACGUCUUGACGGUACCUAAUCAGAAAGCCACGGCUAACUACGUG
rnacentral:rRNA from 1 species